CUUGUUAGCAACCGCCUUUUUUAAGACACAGAGAAGCUUCAAAGUUCACGAGUGGGGGUGUGUGUGACUCGUUAUGAGUCACUGAUGCGCAGCACCUGGGAGAGACACCGGCAGAGAUGUUGAGUUCAGCAAAAUGAUCCAGCACAGGACGUCCUGAUGUGUUCGAGGGUGAGGAGGAGCUCCACUCCUUCAGUCAGUGCCUGGAGGUAUUGAAGAAACGACUUGAUGACAAGAGGUUUGAUUUUUCAGACAGUGGAGCUCAUGAAUGCAGAGAGAGAAUCUGGAAAGGAUCUGCAUGGACAAAUCAUCAAACAGUGCCUGACUGCGAUACGAACCUAAGCUUGGUGUAUGAGUAAUUUAAUAAGUGUUCAUCAGGGGGGGAAGUAAUGAAUUACAUGUACUCUCUUUAUGUUGUGUUUUUUUGUGUGGGUUCUUGUACUUUUGAGUAUUUUUAGAAACAGUGAUUUACUUUUACUUGAGUACUUUUUUAUCACAAGUGUUGUACUACGCUACAUUUCAAGUUGUUACUGAGUAAAAACAAGUCCUGUGAAUCAGUCCUGAAGAAAAGAGA